rnacentral:rRNA from 1 species
GACGAACGCUGGCGGCGUGCUUAACACAUGCAAGUCGAACGGUGAAGCUCCAGCUUGCUGGAGUGGAUCAGUGGCGAACGGGUGAGUAACACGUGAGCAACCUGCCCCUGACUCUGGAAUAAGCGCUGGAAACGGCGUCUAAUACUGGAUACGAGAAGGGUCCGCAUGGGCACUUUCUGGAAAGUUUUUCGGUUGGGGAUGGGCUCGCGGCCUAUCAGCUUGUUGGUGAGGUAAUGGUUCACCAAGGCGACGACGGGUAGCCGGCCUGAGAGGGCGACCGGCCACACUGGGACUGAGACACGGCCCAGACUCCUACGGGAGGCAGCAGUGGGGAAUAUUGCACAAUGGGCGAAAGCCUGAUGCAGCGACGCCGCGUGAGGGAUGACGGCCUUCGGGUUGUAAACCUCUUUCAGCAGGGAAGAAGCGAAAGUGACAGUACCUGCAGAAGAAGCACCGGCUAACUACGUG